ensembl:lncRNA
GUCCCCCGCCCGCCUAGUCUCCUCCCCCUGGGAACGCGCGGGGUGGGUGACAGACCUGGCCGCGCGCCACCACCACCGCGCCUGCCGGGGGCGCUGAAGCUGCCUGAGAAAGAAGCCACGGCUGCCGCCUGGAGGAGGUGCCGUAGCGCCCGCCACCGCUGCCGCCGCCGCCAGGGGUACUUUGUUAGAACCAACAACCUCGGUUCCUAUCUCAGACACAGCAGCAGCAUCCCUGCGCAUGCAGACAAAAAUACACAAAGGCUACUAUGGUAUGCAAGCUCCCCUGCUUCUGUGUUUGGCAGCAAGGUGAAGAAGAAGCCAAGACAAAGGGCAGAGCAUGGACUUCACUGCAUCUCUCUCUGGUUGACCUCCAAUUCCAAAAUCUGCCUGCUUCAGCCUCCAGGAACUGAGAUAACACCAGCCUGCUCAUCCCUUACUCUAUGGAGGUGCCCUGAAGCAAUUCCUACAUGAUUCUUACACAUGCCACAUUUAGAAUCAUCUGAGGAGUGUUAGCCCAACCUUUGCCCUAAGUCUCUCCUGAAGCUAAGUAAAUCUGGAGAAUGGAGCGUAAAAGGGUGAAGUUCGGUGAAGAAGCUGCUGACCUGAAUGACGAGAUGCUUGGCUGCACGGGUGUCCUGUGGCUGAGGAGGGAAGCUUAGAGCCUGUGUCAUCAACUCUGUGAAAACAUGGGACACUGCCAGACAUAGAUGCACAUUGUCUGAGAAGGCUGGCCUCUAACUCAACGAUUGUGUAGACAACAGAAUAUCCAUAUCUAGAUUAUAUGUGUAAAGAACUUAUAAAAAUCAGUUAUGUUUUGUUUCUUGGUUUGUUUGGCUUUUUUCCGAUUGGUGUUAAUACUAUAGCCCAAAAAAAAAAAAAAAAAAAAAAAUACUAUAGCCCAGACUGAUCUCCAACACAAGGCAAUCUUCUUGCCUUAGAUUUCCCAGUUUGGAAAUUAUAAACAUGAACUACCAACACCAAUUUAAAAAAACUUUCUUAGGGAGAGGAAGAAUGGGCUAGGGAGUUGCCAGAGGGGAAACUGAGAAAGGGGAUAACAUUUGAAAUGUAAAUAAAGAAAAUAUCCAAUAAAAGAGAAAAAAAAGGCAAAA